rnacentral:tRNA from 1 species
GUCCCUUGAGAGAUAGCUCAGCCGGUAGAGCAUGAGACUCUUAAUCACAGGGUCAUGGGUUCAAGCCCCACAUUGGGCG